rnacentral:rRNA from 1 species
AGCGUGGAGACAGGUGGUGCAUGGCUGUCGUCAGCUCGUGUCGUGAGAUGUUGGGUUAAGUCCCGCAACGAGCGCAACCCUCACCCCUAGUUGCGACCGGGUUAUGCCGAGCACUCGAGGGGAACUGCCAGCGUCAAGCUGGAGGAAGGCGGGGAUGACGUCAAGUCAUCAUGCCCCUUACGCCCUGGGCUACACACGUGCUACAAUGGCCAGUACAAAGGGAUGCGAGACUGCGAAGUGGAGCUAAUCCCAAAAAGCUGGUCUAAGUUCAGAUUGCAGUCUGCAACUCGACUGCAUGAAGGAGGAAUCGCUAGUAAUCGCGCAUCAGCACGGCGCGGUGAAUACGUUCCCGGGCCUUGUACACACCGCCCGUCACACCACGAAAGCUGUCUGUACUCGAAGUCGCUGAG